UAGAUGAAAAAAAACUUUGAAAAGAGAGUUAAACAGUACGUGAAAUUGCUGAAAGGGAAACGCUUGAAGUCAGUCGCGUCGUCCGGAACUCAGCCUUGCUUUUGCUUGGUGCACUUUCCGGUUGACGGGUCAGCAUCGAUUUUGACCGUCGGAAAAGGGCUGGAGUAAUGUGGCACCCUCGGGUGUGUUAUAGACUCUGGUCGCAUACGGCGGUUGGGAUCGAGGAACGCAGCGCGCCGUAAGGCAGGGGUUCGCCCACUUUCGCGCUUAGGAUGCUGGCAUAAUGGCUUUAAACGACCCGUCUUGAAACACGGACCAAGGAGUCUAACAUACCUGCGAGUGUUUGGGUGGAAAACCCGAGCGCGUAAUGAAAGUGAAAGUUGAGACCCCUGUCGUGGGGGGCAUCGACGCCCGGACCUGACGUUCUCUGAAGGAUCCGCGGUAGAGCAUGUAUGUUGGGACCCGAAAGAUGGUGAACUAUGCCUGAAUAGGGUGAAGCCAGAGGAAACUCUGGUGGAGGCUCGUAGCGAUUCUGACGUGCAAAUCGAUCGUCAAAUUUGGGUAUAGGGGCGAAAGACUAAUCGAACCCUCCUUGGC
rnacentral:rRNA from 1 species